GUUUAGAAUACACGCACCGCUGCGGCCUGCAAAGGCCGGAGGUGACACAAGAUGAGGACGCCCCUGGCCUGCACAGGUGGCUCGGGGGCCCGCACACGGAGCCGGCUGGCCAACGUCAGGACACCAGAGACCAGGGACUCGGCGGGGCAACCCGCUUCCCCUUGUCCUACAGAAACGGUGAGUGGGACCAGGAUGCUACUGCUGCACAGGGCAGUGGGGGAGGGGAGGCCGAGGACCUGCACUGGCUCCUGGGCCCCGAGCCGGAUGAGGCCUUCGGGGCGUGGCCACGAGACCAGGCUCUGAGAGGGCUGUCGGGGGCGGACACUGUAGCUGUUUCAAACCAUGGCUGCAAAUCUUUGACUCUCCUCCCAUCGAGGGGCCGUCUACGUGCCCCCUCCCCAAACCUGAGGGGGCUUCUGGCUGGCUCACCUGUCCCGGGAGUGCAGCCCCGACUGACAACCCAUGAACUCCGGGUCAAGACCACGAAGCUCCCAUGCAUCUGCCCAGUGUCCCAGAGAGCCUGUCCUCGGAGUCCCCGAGAGGAUGGGCGUCCCGGACGGGCAGGCAGGCGUGCCCAGGGGGUGCCAGUCAUUCCGGCUGCCCUGGCCUGGACCGAGCACAGAGGCCCCAGACGUCUUCCUCAGGACCCUCGCCUCAGCCCCCAAACAAGGGGUGUGAUGACUGAUGGUCCUCCUGGACAGAACCUUCCAGAACCCUGGAGAGACACAGUUGAGCGAGGCUGAGAGACUCCCGCAAUCCCACUGACCACAUCACCCCGACAUGACAGCCCCUUACUGUGCUUGAACUCUGAUCCCCAGAAAUGAGAGUGGCAUAAAUUGGCCCUGUGACGCCAGAGGUGUGGGGGCAGGUGGAGAGACGGCUGCCUCCCCUCCCCCACGGGGGUCACGUCCUUGGCUCUACGGUAGGCGCUCCGCUAACUAGCUGGUGAGAGUCAGGGACGUGCCCUCUGCCGCCUCCCGCUGGCGCCAGUGCCCGGCCCCAGAGCCGUGCCGAGACCCAGGCGGGCCCCUCCGCCCGCGGGCUUGCAGCAAAUAAC
rnacentral:lncRNA from 1 species